AAACCAACCGGGAUUGCCUUAGUAACGGCGAGUGAAGCGGCAAAAGCUCAAAUUUGAAAUCUGGUACCUUCGGUGCCCGAGUUGUAAUUUGUAGAGGGAUACUUUGGGGCUGGUCCUUGUCUAUGUUCCUUGGAACAGGACGUCAUAGAGGGUGAGAAUCCCGUGUGGCGAGGAACCCAGUUCUUUGUAAAGUGCCUUCGAAGAGUCGAGUUGUUUGGGAAUGCAGCUCUAAGUGGGUGGUAAAUUCCAUCUAAAGCUAAAUAUUGGCGAGAGACCGAUAGCGAACAAGUACAGUGAUGGAAAGAUGAAAAGAACUUUGAAAAGAGAGUGAAAAAGUACGUGAAAUUGUUGAAAGGGAAGGGCAUUUGAUCAGACAUGGUGUUUUGCGCCCUCUGCUCCUUGUGGGUGGGGGACUCUCGCAGUUCACUGGGCCAGCAUCAGUUUUGGCGGUAGGAUAAAUCCUGAGGAACGUGGCUUGCUUCGGCGAGUGUUAUAGCCUCUGGGAAUACUGCCAGCCGGGACUGAGGACUGCGACAUUCGUCAAGGAUGCUGGCAUAAUGGUUAUAUGCCGC
rnacentral:rRNA from 1 species